rnacentral:misc_RNA from 1 species
UCAUGCAUUGUCAUGAUUAUCAUAAUAGUGUUAAUAUCACGUGUGUUUUAGAUUUUAUUUGAAUUUAUAUUAUGAAUUCAAAGUAUAUUUAUAUUAUUUGUAUGAAUUUAUAGAAAAAUGAAUGAUAUGAGGAUACAUAACGUAAGAUUUUACGAAUUAAAACCCAAAUCUGCUACUUGCUUAUAUCAUGAAUCAGAAACUAAAAAAUUAGCACUAGCCAGAAAUAAUAAUUCAAUAGAGCUAUGGAAUGUCGAGAAUGCUCCAUUUAUCGAGUGUGUUAUUCCUGGUGAUGAAGAUAAUUCUAUAGAAAGCAUUCUUUUGCUCGGCUCAAGAUUGUUUUCGACCGGUCUUCAUGGUCUAGUUGUAGAAUAUAAUUUAACAACAUUACAAAUCAAAUAUCAGGUAUCGGUUACUGGUGGAGCAGCAUGGUGCAUGGAUAUUAAUCAACAAAAAACACUUAUUGCUAUUGGUACGGAAGAUGGGUACAUUAAUACUUUUCGCAUCGCUGAAGAUACAUUAAUUUAUGAACGGAUAUUUGACAAACAGAAUGGAAGAAUUCUGUGUAUUAAAUGGGAUAAUACAGGAGAAAUGAUAUUCACUGGAUCAACGGAUACGGUGAGAGUUUGGAGUACCGUUUCAGGACAUGCAAUUCAUAAAAUGACUACGUCUAGAAAAGAAAUAAGAAAAGAUACCAUUGUAUGGUGUCUUGCAGUAACAGAUGAUAAUUUAAUUAUUUCUGGCGACUCUCGUGGAUUUUUAUCCUUUUGGGAUCCUUAUAUGGGUACUUUAAUCGAGUCUCAUGAAAGUCAUACUGCAGAUAUAUUGGCAGUCACAUUAUCUCGAGAAAAGAAUGUUGUAUAUUGCGCAGGAGUUGAUCCAGUUGUAAGAAGUUUUUGUAAAGUUACUCUGAAGUCCAGCGGAAAGUCACAUUGGGUUAAAGGAAUAGAAAGAAGAUUACAUUCCCACGAUGUUAGAGCUUUAGUAGAUGCUGAUGGUAAAUUAUAUUCUGCCGGAGUCGAUGGAUAUUUAUCUCAAUCGAGUUAUCCUCCGAAGGUACUUGUCAAGUAUCCACCCUUACUUCAGCCACCUUCCGUUGUUUUAUGUAAAAAGUCCAAAUGUGUAUUGUUGUGUUAUUCGAAUUAUCUUGAAUUAUGGAGAUUAGGAUCUUCUGUUCAAACUGCUUCAGAAACUGUAAAAGUUGGCAUGUUACAUCAAUUAGACAAUGAACCGAUAAAAUUAUUAGAACUUAGAACUAAAGGAGAUGAAAGUAUUUUAUCCUAUGCUAUUAGUAAGGAUUCAAAAACUAUAGUGUAUUCAACGAAUACUCAUGUCAGAGUAUUCAAUUUUGACGUAGUGCAGGGAGAUGCUAUAUUAUCACGGAACGAUACAGAUAUAACUGUAAAAAGAAUACAAAAAAUGUUGUUCAGUCCAAAUGGUCAUCUAUUAGCAACAAUUAACAAUGAUGGAGAUAAAAACAUAGUAACGUUAUAUAAAUUAAGUAAAAAAAGUUUGAGACAUAUUGGAUCAUUCCAUACAAUGAAUGAGUCUAUUGUAAAUGUUAAUUUAGUAUGUUUUUCACCGGAUAAUAAAUAUUUAAUAUGUUCUGACCGUCAAGGUAGUAUUGCAGUGUAUGUAGUCAAUGGAGAUCUUACGCAAGAAUCUCUUCAAUCAUGGCGACUGCCUAGUUAUAGUUGUCCACCAACAGCAAUGGCUGUACAUAAAGACACUUUAAAUCUCGUCAUUGUAUACUCCGAUCAUAAGAUCGUUGAAUAUAAUUUAAUUAAAAAACAGUACACUCAAUUUUCAAAUAAUUUACAAAGUCGUAUUCCGAAACAAUGGUUGGCACGUCCGUUUCCGAUAAUAAACAUUUGUUUUGAUCCAUACAAUGAGAAUAUUAUAAUCAUGCACGAUGAUUCUAACGUAUAUAUAAUAAAUAAAGAAAACGAAUCGCUGGAAAAAGAAGCGAAAAUUUCAAGGUGUGAAAAUGACGAUACUACGGAAGAUAGCAGCUCUGCAUUGAGUUCACAAUCGCAACAUGCUUUCAAAGUUGCUAAAAAGUAUAAGCACCUUGUCUAUUUAAACUGGUUGAACGAUCAAGAAAUGGUCGCGGUUGAAGUGAAUCCAAUGGCAUUGCUUGAAAAAUUGCCACCCCCGUUAAAACAAAAGUGGUUCGGCAUAUAAUAAAAAAGGGAUCCAUGGAAACCUUCGAUUGUAUUCCAUGCGAGAAGAUCUCCAGCCGACCAUUGCGGACGCAGUUCUGGGAACGGCUGGUGAAGGUUUCAAGGGAAUUGGUGAACAUUUAGUCGGGUCUUCCGGCGGUUUUCGCUUGAAAGUAUCCGCCGGAAGUGCCGCUUUUCUGCAUUCUUCGGCCAGCACCUGCGGUCAGUGGCAUUGGAACUCGUUGAAAUUCGUGACCGGUCGGCCGCACGAUUAUACGCAGGAGUAUUUUUAUGAAAAACGUUUGUCAUCGUCCCAUUGUUUUCAUGGCUUUAGAAAGACAUUCACUGUCAUCUCAUUGCAAUCAUACUAAUCAAUGGUAAAAUAUAUAUAACUACGUAUAUAUGUAAGUACAAAUAUUGUUUUCUUUUUAUAGAUAAUUUUCAAAAAUUGAUUUAUUUCCAAAUGGAUCUCCGAACACAGCAAACUCCUAGCAGGGAGACCUGGGUCGGUAUUGCAUGCGAUUUAUCCAAAUCUAAUUUUAAAUGAUGUAACGCAAGCACUACCGAACACUCUAUGGCUGUAUUAAAUUCAAUCUAAAUUUAUUAACAAAUGUUUCAUUAUUAUUUACUUUCUUUUUUGGUCCUUCCGACGCAUUAAUUUUCUUUUAAUGAUCAAAUGCACCAAGUUUCAAAAUUGAAUACACACAUAUCCUAACAAAGUACGCAUAAAGAAAAUAAUUCACUAAUAUAAUAAUGCACUUUUAUUCAAUUAAAAAAUUGACGAAAUUUAACAUAAACAAAGAUUGUAACCUCCUCCAUUCGUCAUUUGAGUUGCCAUAUGAAACACCAUAGCGGUUAAAAGUCACCUAUAAAGUAUCCUAAGUGAUCAAUUAAGUGAAACGAAAAGUAAGCAAAAUUAUUCGAUUAAUUAUAUGUUUAUACUGAUUAUCAAACUAUUCAUUGUAAGAGAGAGAGAGAGAAAGAAAAAAAGAAAAAGAGAGAGAGAGAGAGAGGGAAAGUAUUAUUCAGUUGCAUCUCGUAGACGAGGUGUUACGCCUUGAGACAAGGGGUCAGCAGCUCGCUCGCGUUAUAUUCCUCCCGGAUCUCGGGAAUGUUCACUUUCGUAUGCGAAAAGGGGGAGGAACAAUGGCGUAAGUGGCAUGCACGACCGCACAAGCGGACAGACGGCCCUGCGGGAAAUUGCAUUGCACGCAUCGGGCGAACACGAAACUGUACCCUCUCCUUCCCUCCAUCCCUCCCUUUCACUGUCUCUCUCUCUCUCUCAUUCUGUCUGUCUGUCUGUCUGUCUGACUUAUAAGCGAUCAAGCUAGCCCAUCCGUCUGUCUCUCGCCCCUUUCGUCAGAACCCGGGUGUCCUUCCUGCCCACUUAGGAUCGUCGAAGAGCCACCUGUCCCUGCGUAUCCUAUCCAUCCGUCCAUCCAUCCGUCCAUCCGUCCAACCAUCCAACCAACCAACCAACCAACCAUCCGUUCGUUCGUUCGUUCGUUCGUUCGUUCGUCAAGCAGCCGACGCUUUAACGCUUCCGGAGACUGAAGUGGCGUUCUCGCGAUGCUUAGAAUCGACGAUCGUUGUUGACGCCAUCGGCGGCAAUUCGCUUGAAUUUACCUAACGAGGAGUUUGAAACGGAACGCGAUUAAGCAUCCCGAUCGAUCAAAUUCAUACGCGUGAUUUGGGAAACGGGGUGUAGUUCUCGUCUAUGACAAAAAUCAAAUAAAGUUUAGGUAUGUGUGUAAUAUUUCUGAAUAAGGUAUGGGACACGUUAGAUAUGUAGUAUUUUCAAUACGGGUUUUAACUGUUAGUCUUGAAAAUGAUUAAAAA